rnacentral:rRNA from 1 species
AUGGCCGCCCCCGCCCGCGCCCGCUUCGUCCACAACCGCAGCCGCCGCCGCGCCGACGAGGACGACUCCGACGACGAGGGCCACCAGCGGCAGGACGCCUCCUCCUCGUCCUCCUCUGACGACGACGGCGGGGAAGAGGAAGAGGAGGAGAUGGAGGUCGAGGGUUCCGAUGAGGAGGAGGAGGAGGCGGUCGCCGACGAGCCAGCGGCCAGGGAGUCCCCCGCGGCAGCGGGGAGGGGCGGCAGGAAGGGCCCGAUUACCAUCAGCCUCAAGAAAGUCUGCAAGGUGUGCAAGAAGACGGGGCACGAGGCAGGGUUCAAGGGCGCGGUGUACAUCGAUUGCCCCAUGAAGCCUUGCUUCCUAUGCAAGAUGCCAGGUCAUACGACCUUGACUUGCCCACACAGGGUAGCAAUGGAGCAUGGUGUUAUCCCAGCCCCUAGAAGGAACACAAACACUUCACUGGAUUACGUCUUUCAGAGUCAAGUGAAAGGAAAGAUCUCCAUGGUUAAGCCUCGGUUUCUGGUACCUAACCAAUUGGAGUGUGGCAACAUAAAAUUUCACCAAAGACGUGUGACCUGCCUGGAAUUUCAUCCAACUAAGAACAAUGUGCUUUUAUCAGGAGACAAGAAAGGGCUACUAGGCAUCUGGGAUUAUGUUAAGUUGCAUGAGAAGAUUACUUAUGAUUCUGUGCACUCCUGCAUUCUGAACAGUAUGAAGUUUGACACUGCCAAUGAUGGAGUGCUAUACACAGCUUCUUCUGAUGGGACUAUCAGCAGCACAGACUUAGACACUGGAAUUGGUGCGCCCUUGUUAAAUCUAAACCCAGACGGUUGGAGUGGUCCAAGCACUUGGCGCAUGAUAUAUGGGAUGGACUUAAACACCGAGAAAGGUCUUCUUUUGGUGGCGGAUAGUUUUGGGUUUCUUUACUUAUUGGAUAGACGGUCGAAGGAAAGAAUCGGGCAACCAAUUCUUAUACAUAAAAAAGGUAGCAAGGUAACUGGCCUUCAUUGCAACCCUGCACAACCUGAAGUUCUUCUGAGCAGCGGGAAUGAUCACUUUGCCCGUAUUUGGGAUACAAGGAAACUUGAUCCCAAGUCCGCUCUUGCCAGCCUUGCUCAUGGACGGGUUGUUAAUUCAGGAUAUUUUUCUCCACGAAGUGGGAAUAAGAUCAUGACAACAUGUCAGGACAAUCGAAUUCGUGUUUGGGAUUAUAUUUUUGGUAAUCUGGAAUCCCCAAGUAGAGAAAUCGUUCACAGCCAUGAUUUCAAUCGUCACUUGACUCCCUUCAAAGCGGAGUGGGAUCCAAAGGAUUACUCAGAAACAGUUGCAGUCAUUGGUCGUUACAUAAGUGAGAACUACAAUGGGGUUGCUCUACACCCCAUUGAUUUCAUAGACACCAGCACAGGGAAGCUUCUGGCCGAGGUGAUGGACCCUGACAUAACCACUAUCAGCCCAGUGAACAAGCUACAUCCUCAAGAUGACAUCCUAGCGACAGGAAGCUCAAGGUCCAUUUUCAUUUGGAAACCAAAAAAUGAGGUCGAUCCCACGGAAGAGAGGACCAGCCAGAAGGUCAAGGAAUAUGUAUACGGGUCAGGUUCGCGGAAGAAACCAAAUGGCAAGCACGACAACAGUAGUGAUGACGACUCGGAUGGUGGUGGUGGAAAGAGCAAGAAGGCGAAGAAGACUCGCUUCACUCAUACGGCAAAGGGAAAGGGCAAAUCCAAAGCUUGA